ensembl:misc_RNA
UUUUCUCCCUCGUGCCGGGAGGGAAUGUCCAGGUGGGAGAGACUAUGAUAUAGAUUUCACCCCAAAACGACGAAAUCUCCUUUCAGCCGACUCCGCCGCAGUCGCCUCUGCGCUUUUUGGAGAGAUUACGG